rnacentral:rRNA from 1 species
UGUAAGCGUAUACCAAAGUUGUUGCAGUUAAAACGCUCGUAGUCGGAAUUUGGCAGUUCCGGAUGUGUGCACGUCGUGUGCGCACUUCGCGGGGAUUGCUUUUGUGGUCUUGCGUAGGAUGAGGCACUUUUAUUAGUGAACGUCCUCACGCAACCACUUUUUACUGUGAGAGAAUCAGAGUGCUCAAAGCAGGCAUUUGCCGUGAAUGUAUUAGCAUGGAAUAAUAGAAUAGGACUUGGUUCUAUUUUGUUGGUUUGUUGGGACUGAGUAAUGAUUAAGAGGGACAGUUGGGGGCAUUUGUAUUUCGGUGCCAGAGGUGAAAUUCUUAGAUUACCGAAAGACAAACUGCUGCGAAAGCGUCUGCCAAGGAUGUUUUCAUUGA